AUUGAACGCUGGCGGCAUGCCUUACUCAUGCAAGUCGAACGGUAACGGGCCUUCGGGUGCCGACGAGUGGCGAACGGGUGAGUAAUGUAUCGGAACGUACCUUUCAGUGGGGGAUAACGUAGCGAAAGUUACGCUAAUACCGCAUAUUCUGUGAGCAGGAAAGCAGGGGAUCGCAAGACCUUGCGCUGAUUGAGCGGCCGAUAUCAGAUUAGCUAGUUGGUGAGGGAAAGGCUCACCAAGGCGACGAUCUGUAGCGGGUCGGAGAGGAUGAUCCGCCCACUGGAACUGAGACACGGGCCAGACUCCUACGGGAGGCAGCAGGGGGGAAUUUUGGACAAUGGGGGCAACCCUGAUCCAGCCAUGCCGCGUGAGUGAAGAAGGCCUUCGGGUUGUAAAGCUCUUUCGGCCGGGAAGAAAUCGUAUCAGCUAAUACCUGGUGCGGAUGACGGUACCGGCAUAAGAAGCACCGGCUAACUACGUGCCAGCCGCCGCCGUAACAC
rnacentral:rRNA from 1 species